CUUCUCCCCAGGUUCACCAGAGGAAACACCACUGCACAAAAUGCUUUUCCUCCCAGCUGCUGCUCUGUGCUGUCUGUGUUCAGCACUGGUUACCAUGGCAGCAGAACAGCUGAUUCAGGACGAUUUAACAUUGACCAGGAGAGUUGGAGAAAGUGUCUCCUUCAGCUGUGGAGGGACUGAACAGUGUGAUCGCAACUGGAUAUUCUGGUACCAGAAGAAAGAAACAGAAACAUUUAGAUUUAUUCUUGAUAUUAAUAAAAAUAAUGGUGACAUAGAUAGAAGUUACUCUUCUCAUCCUCAGAAAGAUGAAUUCUCUUCUGUAAAUACAAAUAAAGGCUGGGAGUUAGAAGUUAAGCAAGUUAAACGCGAUCAUUCAGCCACCUACUACUGUAACUGUUGGAAGCUUGAUCCCCACAGAAACGGCUACCCCAUCUUUGGCUCUGGAACUAAACUGUCUGUAACAGAUGAGCAGGUAGUGAAGCCCGUGGUGAGCGUGUACCCAGCAGCAUCCAGAGCCCACCUGGAGGGGAACAGCUCCCUGCUGUGUGUGGCCUCAGCCAUGUUUCCUCCUCUGGUCCAGUUCUCCUGGAAAAGACAGAAGAAGAACGGCGGAGAAGCGGAGGAGCUGCCCCCUGCUGAGGGAGAGCAGCUGGAGCUCAGAGAGGCGGGACGCACCAUUGCCAUCAGGAUGCUUGAUGGGAGCCAUUCUGACACAUAUAAAUACAGCUGCUGGGUGAAGCACGAGGGGGGCACAGUGGAGGCCCGAACACAACAAGAGCUUCCAGCUCCAGCAGCCUCCUGUCCUCCAGAGAGAGAGCCAGCAGACCUGCCAGCUCUGCAGCCAGCUGACU
ensembl:lncRNA